UUUUAAAAAUUAACAGGUGUUUCUUUAUUUCUGCUAAAACCUUCCAUUCAAGACUUUCUCACGUACAGUACAUAUUAAAUUGUUCUCUUCUUAAAAAAUCGUAAUGCACAAUGUUUGUAAUCUAUAGAUGAUAUUGACACUUUGGUUAGCCAUCAAACAUCGUGAUUAACAAGAGAAAAAAUUGCAAGUCAAACUAUACAGCAAAUAAUGAACACUACUGUUGUUACCGGUCGUUGACUUUAGCACCAAACUGCUGGUAGACAACUGAACCGUUGUAGGCGUAAUAUAUCUUAACUAAUACAUUUCAAAUAACAAGAAUAACUUCCUUGUAAACAGUACUAAAUAGAACGUUAUUUACAAUAUAGAACAAUAAACUUGAGAUCGAAUAAGUGCUAAGAAACAAAAUUUAGACUCAAUGCGCUACGAUAACAAAACAAACGUUAACGCCAGAGUUGAAAGGUUAAACAAAAUAAAAAAAAAGUUUUGAGCAGAUAGGUCUUGAUGCUUUUCUUGAAUGUACAGUGAAAUCAAGUAAUUAAUAUUAAACUCACGUACAUUACAAAAAACACAAGUUAUUCCUACAAGUCAAAGUUUUAUUAUUUAUGUACAUAGACAAACGUGGGUUGGAUGUUGUGUCACCUUAUUUCAAUUAUUGUUGUUUGUUAUUUGUCCUCCAACUCUUCCCAAUCAAUCUUCUCCACCUUUUUAAAAUACAGUUAUUGAAAAAAAAAGUUUCUUUAGCUUCUAGAGAUUUUAAAAAAAGUUACUUCUCAUUAGCACGUGAGUUGUUGUUUUUUUCUCUAACAUCUUAUUUUGAUUUUCUUCUUUUCUACCAAUUUUUGUUCCUACCAAACACCAUUUGUGUUCCUUCCAAAGUCCAAACACCUUUUUUGUCUCUUCCAAAGUCCAAACACCUUUUUUGUCUCUUCCAAAGUCCAAACACCAUUUU